rnacentral:rRNA from 1 species
AUUGAACGCUGGCGGCAGGCCUAACACAUGCAAGUCGAACGAGUGGCGGACGGGUGAGUAAUGUCUGGGAAACUGCCUGAUGGAGGGGGAUAACUACUGGAAAAGGUAGCUAAUACCGCAUACCAUCGGAUGUGCCCAGAUGGGAUUAGCUAGUAGGUGGGGUAACGGCUCACCUAGGCGACGAUCCCUAGCUGGUCUGAGAGGAUGACAAGCAACACUGGAACUGAGACACGGUCCAGACUCCUAAGUGAGGCAGCAGGGGGGAAGAUUGCACAAUGGGCGCAAGCCUGAUGCAGCCAUGCCGCGUGUAUGAAGAAGGGCUUCGGGUUGUAAAGUACUUUAAGCGAGGAGGCGUUACCCGCAGAAGAAGCACCGGCUAACUCCGUGCCAGCAGCCGCGGUAAUAC